AAGUAAUGGAUUGGAAUGAUCAGAACUGUCUAACACAGUUUGAGUUUACUAUAUAGCAAGAAAGUAUCACCUAUUCCAGUGUUCUCUCUUCAUGAGACAAGCUGUUAUAAAAACUUAAAACAA
rnacentral:snoRNA from 1 species